GUGGAUUAGAUACCCUGGUAGUCCACGCCGUAAACGAUGAGUGCUAGGCGUUGGGGGUAUUGACCCCCCCAGUGCCGCAGCUAACGCGUUAAGCACUCCGCCUGGGGAGUACGGCCGCAAGGCUAAAACUCAAAGGAAUUGACGGGGGCCCGCACAAGCGGUGGAGCAUGUGGUUUAAUUCGACGCAACGCGAAGAACCUUACCUGGGUUAAAUCCACCGGAACCUUCUGGAGACAGAGGGGUGCCCGUCGGGGAACCGGUGAGAAGGUGCUGCACGGUUGUCGUCAGCU
rnacentral:rRNA from 1 species